GCGAGGAAUAUUGCGCAAUGGAGGCAACUCUGACGCAGUAACGCCGCGUGCGGGACGAAGACCUUCGGGUUGUAAACCGCUUUUAAGAGAGACGAGUGAGGACGGUAUCUCUGGAAUCAGUCUCGGCUAACUACGUGCCAGCAGCCGCGGUAAGACGUAGGAGGCGAGCGUUAUCCGGAUUCACUGGGCGUAAAGCGCAUGUAGGCGGCUGGGAAAGUCCGUGGUUAAAGCCCCUGGCUCAACUGGGGGAGGUCCACGGAGACUACUCGACUUGAGGGCAGCAGAGGCGCGUGGAACUCCCGGUGUAGCGGUGGAAUGCGUAGAGAUCGGGAAGAACACCAGUGGCGAAGGCGGCGCGCUGGGCUGCACCUGACGCUGAGAUGCGAAAGUGUGGGGAGCAAACGGGAUUAGAAACCCUAGUAGUCC
rnacentral:rRNA from 1 species